rnacentral:rRNA from 1 species
AGUGAACGCUGGCGGUAGGCCUAACACAUGCAAGUCGAACGGCAGCACAGUAAGAGCUUGCUCUUACGGGUGGCGAGUGGCGGACGGGUGAGGAGUACAUCGGAAUCUACUUUUUCGUGGGGGAUAACGUAGGGAAACUUACGCUAAUACCGCAUACGACCUACGGGUGAAAGCAGGGGAUCUUCGGACCUUGCGCGAUUGAAUUAGCCGAUGUCGGAUUAGCUAGUUGGCGGGGUAAAGGCCCACCAAGGCGACGAUCCGUAGCUGGUCUGAGAGGAUGAUCAGCCACACUGGAACUGAGACACGGUCCAGACUCCUACGGGAGGCAGCAGUGGGGAAUAUUGGACAAUGGGCGCAAGCCUGAUCCAGCCAUACCGCGUGGGUGAAGAAGGCCUUCGGGUUGUAAAGCCCUUUUGUUGGGAAAGAAAAGCAGCAGGUUAAUACCCCGCUGUUCUGACGGUACCCAAAGAAUAAGCACCGGCUAACUUCGUG